rnacentral:rRNA from 1 species
UACGGAGGGGGCUAGCGUUGUUCGGAAGUUACUGGGCGUAAAGCGCGCGUAGGCGGACCUGCAAGUCGGGGGUGAAAGCCCGAGGCUCAACCUCGGAACUGCCUUCGAUACUGCGGGUCUCGAGUCCGGGAGAGGUGAGUGGAAUUGCGAGUGUAGAGGUGAAAUUCGUAGAUAUUCGCAAGAACACCAGUGGCGAAGGCGGCUCACUGGCCCGGAACUGACGCUGAGACGCGAAAGCGUGGGGAGCAAACAGG